rnacentral:lncRNA from 1 species
AUGCCCAAGAGGAAGGUCAUCUCCACCGAAGGGGCCGCCAAGGAAGAGCCCAAGAGGACAUCGGCGAGUUUGUCAGCUAAACCUCCUGCAAAAGUGGAAGCGCAGCCAAAAAAGGCAGCAGCGAAGGAUAAAUCUUCAGACAAAAAAACGCAAACAAAAGGGAAAAGGGGAGCAAAGGGAAAACAGGCAGAAGUGGCUAACCAAGAAACUAAAGAAGAUUUACCUGCAGAAAAUGGUGAAACGAAAACUGAGGAGAGUCCAGCCUCCCUGAUGAAGCAGGAGAGAAAGAAGCCAAGUCUGAUU